GAUUUCUGGUAUGUCGCACUUGGCCCGCCCCGCUACGGGGUUGUGUGCCGGUGUGCGUCUGCCAUCUUUCUGGACCUCACUAUUACUUCUCUUCAUUGGGUUGUUUUAGCGAACCAGAUCUUUUACUUUGAAAAAAUUAGAGUGUUUAAAGCAGGCUUGUGCUAUGAAUACAUUAGCAUGGAAUAAUAAUUUAGGACUUUGGUCUUAUUUUGUUGGUUUCUAGGACUAAAGUAAUGAUUGAUAGGGACAGUUGGGGGUGCUAGUAUUCAGUGGCCAGAGGUGAAAUUCUUGGAUUCACUGAAGACUAACUUAUGCGAAAGCAUU
rnacentral:rRNA from 1 species